rnacentral:rRNA from 1 species
GAUGGACGCUGGCGGCGUGCCUAAUACAUGCAAGUCAAGCGAACAGACGAGGAGCUUGCUCCUCUGACGUUAGCGGCGGACGGGUGAGUAACACGUGGAUAACCUACCUAUAAGACUGGGAUAACUUCGGGAAACCGGAGCUAAUACCGGAUAAUAUAUUGAACCGCAUGGUUCAAUAGUGAAAGACGGUUUUGCUGUCACUUAUAGAUGGAUCCGCGCCGCAUUAGCUAGUUGGUAAGGUAACGGCUUACCAAGGCGACGAUGCGUAGCCGACCUGAGAGGGUGAUCGGCCACACUGGAACUGAGACACGGUCCAGACUCCUACGGGAGGCAGCAGUAGGGAAUCUUCCGCAAUGGGCGAAAGCCUGACGGAGCAACGCCGCGUGAGUGAUGAAGGUCUUCGGAUCGUAAAACUCUGUUAUUAGGGAAGAACAAAUGUGUAAGUAACUAUGCACGUCUUGACGGUACCUAAUCAGAAAGCCACGGCUAACUACGUG